CCUACGGGUGGCAGCAGUGGGGAAUAUUGGACAAUGGGGGCAACCCUGAUCCAGCCAUGCCGCGUGUGUGAAGAAGGCCCUCGGGUUGUAAAGCACUUUCAGUGAGGAAGAACGCCUGGUGGUUAAUACCCAUCAGGAAAGACAUCACUCACAGAAGAAGCACCGGCUAACUCCGUGCCAGCAGCCGCGGUAAUACGGAGGGUGCGAGCGUUAAUCGGAAUUACUGGGCGUAAAGCGCGCGUAGGUGGCUUGAUAAGCCGGUUGUGAAAGCCCCGGGCUCAACCUGGGAACGGCAUCCGGAACUGUCAAGGUAGAGUGCAGGAGAGGAAGGUAGAAUUCCCGGUGUAGCGGUGAAAUGCGUAGAGAUCGGGAGGAAUACCAGUGGCGAAGGCGGCCUUCUGGACUGACACUGACACUGAGGUGCGAAAGCGUGGGUAGCAAACAGGAUUAGAUACCCCGGUAGUC
rnacentral:rRNA from 1 species